GAUGACAUGGGAAUAUAUUUCCAGAUGUAAGGGACCUUUUUCUCUUCGCUGAAGAUAAGACACAUACAUGAACAUCAUAGAAGCAUUUGUUUGCAUCAUGUAUGACAGAACAACAUCAACAUUUGCUGUUAACAAGGUGCGAUGUAAAUUGUUACCCAGGAAGCAGCGGCAUUGUGAUGCAAUUCCGCCUACAAGAGUUUUUUUCUCGGAGCCAAUUCAAAGAAAAGCAUAUCAAAGAGGACAAGUUUAGGCUCAGCCUGAUUUAUGUAUUCGACAGGUACAUUUACCAAGUCAUAUACACUGGAAUUGGAUAAAAGGAAAAAAAAACGAUGACAGUGGAAACCAAAAAGGACUUCUUCGUUGCCGUUACAGUGUCCUGUCAGGAAACUAUAAAAUGCGAAGGAAA
rnacentral:lncRNA from 1 species